CACCCCUCUAAAUCACAAACCCUAACCCUUCUCCUUUUCUCCUCCUCCUCAUGCCUCGUAGAGCACCCAUGGCCUCCGACGCCGCCGCCGCCGCCGCCGCCGGAGAUGGUGGCGCCGCCGUCUCCUCCUCCGGCAUCGUCCCGAUCUCGGCCGUGGAAGCGCUGGCCAAAACCCUAGGGCACGCCGAGGAGGUCCGUGCCCAACUCAGCGAGUUCCUCGCCGCGGCCGACCCCGACGCCCUCGCCGAUCUCCCCCCACUCCGCCGCGCCCGCGCGUUCCUCGCGCUCGCUAGGGCCGCCUCCUCCCUCUUCUCAGUGCGAUUGCGAUGUAGCGGGAUCAACCCGGAUGAUCACCCCAUGGCAAAAGAGCUUGAGAGGUUAAGUUUGCAUGAAGAGAAAUUGGAGCGGUUCGAGAGCUGGAGCAAAGCUCCGCUACGGCCUUCGACGACCUUAAACUACCAGGCGGCAACCCGUUUCAUCGGGCAUUCGCUGCCGCACUUAACAUCUGAGCAGAGGAAAAGUAUGCGGGACAUCAGUCGAGGACGCGGAGUGAGGAGUAGACCUUCUAACGAUAGGGCUCGUAAGAAGAGGAAGGAAGCUGACAGGCCGAACGUACGUCUGGCCGCGCAAGAGUUUCUUGAAAAGGCAGCUCGGGAACUUUUUAGCUCGAAGGAGACUGGUGUGAAAGGCCCUCUGCGAAUUAUCUCAGAUGAAGACGAUGAAUAAUUUGUUUGGCAUUUCCAAUCUUGGGUUUCAGGAAUUGUUCGAUGCUGGAAGUAUCGCAUCCCCUUCAUUAUUAUUAUUAGCACCUUGUUUGCGUCGAUGGAGCUUGAAGAGCCAGGUGCUUUCUGGGUUCUCCAUCUGGUUCUCCGAGUUCUCCAUCUGGUUUUCCAUCGAGCUUGCGUGUUCUCCUGUCGAGUAGCUCGACAUCAUGGCUGGACCCUUCUCUUCUUCUGUUUCUAUUUCAUCAUCUUUCAAAUUGCAAGGUAUAAGAGAUAUUCUCGCAAACUUUGUCUUCUGCUUUUUCUCGAUCUUUAACGCUCUUUCUAGUCUAAAAAGUUUCACGGUUUAUUUAUUUUACUUAUUUUUUUUAUAUUAGGCCUUUCUAAUUUCUAUUUUUUCGGCC